rnacentral:rRNA from 1 species
GAUGAACGCUGGCGGCGUGCCUAAUACAUGCAAGUCGAGCGAACAGACGAGGAGCUUGCUCCUCUGACGUUAGCGGCGGACGGGUGAGUGACACGUGGAUAACCUACCUAUAAGACUGGGAUAACUUCGGGAAACCGGAGCUAAUACCGGAUAAUAUAUUGAACCGCAUGGUUCAAUAGUGAAAGACGGUUUUGCUGUCACUUAUAGAUGGAUCCGCGCCGCAUUAGCUAGUUGGUAAGGUAACGGCUUACCAAGGCAACGAUGCGUAGCCGACCUGAGAGGGUGAUCGGCCACACUGGAACUGAGACACGGUCCAGACUCCUACGGGAGGCAGCAGUAGGGAAUCUUCCGCAAAGGGCGAAAGCCUGACGGAGCAACGCCGCGUGAGUGAUGAAGGUCUUCGGAUCGUAAAACUCUGUUAUUAGGGAAGAACAAAUGUGUAAGUAACUAUGCACGUCUUGACGGUACCUAAUCAGAAAGCCACGGCUAACUACGUG